CAACCCUACAUGCCCGGCGUUACUCAGACAUGCCUGCAGGAUUACGUCCAAAACACACAGGUGACUGAAAAUUAAUUUUUAAGAGAAAUUAAAACUUAAAAGCCACAGCCAGAUCUGAGAAUGGUGAAGCCAACACUUAUUACGGUUCUACUAGAUAGAGCAAGCCAACUUAUGCAGCCGGUUCUCUCACUCAAAGCGCAGGGAAUAAACCUACACUUUCUCACAGAGUUAUUAAAAGAAAACCCAGAAAACCAACGCCAAAAGUUAGAAGCAGGGGGACGGCAGGGAAGAAGAGCUGGAGAGUCAAUGGAUGUUUCCUACUCAGCCUAAGAAGUUGUGGCUAAACAGUAAUAUGUAUGUUUUAUCACCAGCCCAAGCAGAUUUAAUGAUUCCAAACAACACGGGUCCUACUGCAUCUCCUGCUAUACCAUGAAUAAGGAAAGUUUACAGUUGGAUGGCUGUGUGCACUCCUAAGCACUUGAUUACAGGAGGACAUUGAUAAACCAGAAGAAGUUUAAGAGAUUCCAGCUGUGAGCAAUGGAAAUGAAAAAAAGUCUCUGAUAAAAACAGUAAGGCACAAAUUCUCUUCAGAAAGAUGGAAAGAACUAGAUAUGAACAGAAAAGAAAGCUGGUGAAAAAUUAUAUGACAGAAGAAAAAAUAUUGGAGCAAACAAGACAAAUAAAAGUCAUGAGAUAAAAAGAAUUCUUUACCUAAUAAAUAUGCAGAAUGGCCAAAACUUCUUACAUGAAGUACAAAACACAAGGUGAUGAAUCAGAACUAAGCUACCAAAGAGACAGGACAUUUCCAGAAUCUGUAGGUUUAAAUUCUCUGAGUUGUGUCCUGAGGCUUCCUGCCUUUGCUUCCUGACUUAAGACCAUAGUUGGCAAAUGUUUAGACAAGCAAGUCUCUUAAUGUU